UACGUAGGGGGCAAGCGUUGUCCGGAUUUAUUGGGCGUAAAGCGCUCGCAGGUGGCCCGAUGCGUCGUGCGUGAAAGACCCCGGCUCAACUGGGGGCGGUCGUGCGAUACGGUCGGCUGGAGGCCAGUAGGGGGAUGCGGAAUUCCGGGUGUAGUGGUGGAAUGCGUAGAGAUCCGGAGAACACCAGCGGCGAAGGCGGCAUCCUGGACUGGUCCUGACACUCAGGAGCGAAAGCGUUGGGGAGCGAUCCGGG
rnacentral:rRNA from 1 species